UAGAGAUGAGAAUGUGCCUUCGGGAACCGUGAGACAGGUGCUGCAUGGCUGUCGUCAGCUCGUGUUGUGAAAUGUGGGUUAAGUCCCGCAACGAGCGCACCUUAUCCUUUGUUGCCAGCGGUCCGGCCGGGAACUCAAAGGAGACUGCCAGUGAUAAACUGGAGGAAGGUGGGGAUGACGUCAAGUCAUCAUGGCCCUUACGACCAGGGCUACACACGUGCUACAAUGGCGCAUACAAAGAGAAGCGACCUCGCGAGAGCAAGCGGACCUCAUAAAGUGCGUCGUAGUCCGGAUUGGAGUCUGCAACUCGACUCCAUGAAGUCGGAAUCGCUAGUAAUCGUGGAUCAGAAUGCCACGGUGAAUACGUUCCCGGGCCUU
rnacentral:rRNA from 1 species